UUUAGCUGGUCAUAUCGAGACUGAACCCAUUCAGCUUCAUCUAACCUUAUCUCUGUUAAAAUUCGGAGAGAAGGUAUUUCCACUUCAAUAGGUAAAACUGCUUCCAUCCCGUAAACUAACGAGAACGGAGUUGCCCCAGUAGAAGUUCUAACAGAUGUUCGAUAGGCCAAGAGUGCAAACGGUAGCUUUUCAUGCCAAUCCCUAUAAGUCUCAGUCAUCUUUC
rnacentral:lncRNA from 1 species